rnacentral:tRNA from 3 species
GGGUUUAGUUAAAUGGUAUAACUACGGUCUCCAAAACCGUUGUUGCGGGUUCGAUUCCUGCAGCC